CCUACGGGUGGCUGCAGUAGGGAAUCUUCCACAAUGGGCGAAAGCCUGAUGGAGCAACGCCGCGUGGGUGAAGAAAGUCUUCGGAUCGUAAAACCCUGUUGUUAGAGAAGAAAGUUCGUGAGAGUAACUGUUCACGUUUCGACGGUAUCUAACCAGAAAGCCACGGCUAACUACGUGCCAGCAGCCGCGGUAAUACGUAGGUGGCAAGCGGUAUCCGGAUUUAUUGGGCGUAAAGGGAACGCAGGCGGUCUUUUAAGUCUGACGUGAAAGCCUUCGGGUUAACCGGAGUAGUGCAUUGGAAACUGGGAGACUUGAGUGUAGACAGGGAGCAUGGAACU
rnacentral:rRNA from 1 species